UUGUGGGAGCCUAUUCCCACUCUCGGGGGCAAAGCCCGUCCAUUCGACUCCCGUGGAAAGCGAGGCACAAAUGCACAUACAAGAUAUACUUAACAACCGCUGUUUUAAUGACUCACAUCUUACAGUGUCUUUUCUUCUCCGCUUCCACGUCCACACUGACCACACAAACCCCUCGUCGUUCUCCUUUUUACCCCCAAGGCUCUCACUUCCUCGUCGUCCCGCAACGUCCAAACUUCUUCCUCUACUUCGCCCCACACCUUCUUAUGUUCUUCCUUUGAAAAAAUAACGGUGAGUCUAAUUUCCUUUCUCUUUGCGAUGUUUUGAUGCCAGAGCUGACUGAUGGGUGCACAUGGUUCCUUCGAAUGUUCUUCCUUUGAAAAAAUAAACGAGCUGACUGGUGGGUGCACAUGGUUCCUUCGUAUGUUCUUCCUUUUAAAAAUAAACGUGUUUUGAUGCUGGGGCUGACUGAUGGGUGCACAUGGUUCCUUCGUAUGUUCUUCAUUUGAAAAAAUAAAC